rnacentral:rRNA from 1 species
CCUACGGGUGGCAGCAGUGAGGAAUAUUGGUCAAUGGGCGAGAGCCUGAACCAGCCAAGUCGCGUGAGGGCGUACUGCCCUAUGGGUUGUAAACCUCUUUUGUCGGGGAGCAAAAGCCGGACGUGUCCGGCUGUGAGAGUACCCGAAGAAAAAGCAUCGGCUAACUCCGUGCCAGCAGCCGCGGUAAUACGGAGGAUGCGAGGGUUAUCCGGAUUUAUUGGGUUUAAGGGGUGCGUAGGCGGACUGUUAAGUCAGCGGUAAAAGCCCGGGGCUCAACCCCGGCGAGCCGUUGAAACUGGCUGUCUUGAGAUGUCGAGAGGUAUGCGGAAUGCGUGGUGUAGCGGUGAAAUGCAUAGAGAUCACGCAGAACUCCGAUUGCGAAGGCAGCAUACCGGCGCCCUACUGACGCUGAGGCACGAAAGCGUGGGUAUCGAACAGGAUUAGAUACCCGAGUAGUC